CCUACGUGUGGCAGCAGUGAGGAAUAUUGGUCAAUGGUCGGGAGACUGAACCAGCCAAGCCGCGUGAGGGAGGAAGGUACAGAGUAUCGUAAACCUCUUUUGUCAGGGAACAAAGACUGGGACGCGUCCCCGGCUGCGUGUACCUGAAGAACAAGCAUCGGCUAACUCCGUGCCAGCAGCCGCGGUAAUACGGAGGAUGCGAGCGUUAUCCGGAUUUAUGGGGUUUAAAGGGGUCGCAGGCGGUCUGUUAAGUCAGCGGUCAAAGCCCGGGGCUCAACCCCGGCCCGCCGUUGAAACUGGCAGUCCCGAGUUGGAGAGAAGUAUGCGGAAUGCGCGGUGUAGCGGUGAAAUGCAUAGAUAUCGCGCAGAACUCCGAUUGCGAAGGCAGCAUGCCGGAUCCACACUGACGCUGAGGCACGAAAGCGUGGGUAUCGAACAGGAUUAGAGACCCCAGUAGUC
rnacentral:rRNA from 1 species